GCCGGUUGCCUCCGCCUUCCCUUCUAGAAAAACCAUCUGCUCUCUCUCUCUCUCUUUCCUCCGCGAAGCGCCGCUCUUUUUGUGAACCGCGCCUCCGCCUCUGCCGCUUGCCUUCGCCGUCGCCUCCCGGAGCCCGUCGGUGGCUCAGAUCCCAACCACGCGGCCGCCUCCGCCUACAUCGUCGCCUCCGAAGCCCCCAUUGGCGAUUCGUCCUCUGCCCCUCUCUCUCUCUGUCCCAAGAAACGGCACCGCUUGGCUCUUUGUGACGAAUCGCGCCUCCGCCGUUGCCUCCCGAAGCCCCUUUGGCGAUCUCGGGCUCCGACUCGCCCUCUGCGUUGCCUCCGAAGCCCCAUUCUCAGGUUAGGGUUUUAUAUGACUUCAACUUAUUCUCGUCGUUUUUGCCCUAACGUGAAGAUCGGUGGCUCAGAUCCGACCACGCGGCCGCCUCCGCCUACGCCGUCGCCUCCGAAGCCCCCAUUGGCGAUUCGUCCUCUGCCCCUCUCUCUCUUUCACAGAGAAACGGCUCCGCUUGGCUCUCUAUGACGAACCGCGCCUCUGCCGUCGCCUCCCGAAGCCCCUUUGGCGAGCCCUCGGCGGAGGAGCUGGCGCUGGUGGUGAUGGUGGGGUCAAGGUGUGCGCGUUCGACAAUCGUAGUGCCGGUCGGAGUUCUGUGCCCGCCGACAUGUCGGAGUACAUGUGAGUCCGAUCGACGCAUACCGGGAGCUUUCUAGUUCAUUUGAGUGUGUGCUGCUUCGUGGAGUUUCUUGAAUCAGGAGCGUAUUCACAGGAGAAUGGUUGCCAGUUGGUGCAAAGCUGAAAUGCUGCUUCAGCUUUCCUUGGACUAAUCGUGCACAUUGGAUGGCUUUCUUAGUCUUUUAGUUUGAUGAUAAUUUGGUGUUGUUCCAAAAACAUUUUAACGAAAAUUGACUUUGACUUUCGAUGUGAUUUCUGGAGCAGGACAAAGAUUAUGGCGAAAGAUCUGAUUGCUGUACUCAAUCACCUGGGAUGGGAAAGAGCCCAUGUCAUUGGCCAUUCAAUAGGAGCUAUGAUUGCUUGCAAGUUGGCUGCCAUGGUGCCCAACAGAGUUUUAUCUUUAGGAUUGCUCAACGUGACUAGUGGAGGCUAUGAAUGUUUCCCAAAGCUAUUGCAUCCAUUUCAGUAUGCGAUGGUCCUUCCUUUGAAUAGAGAUUGACAUUUUUCUCCAUGCAAACUAAAAGGGGCUAAAACUCCGGAACAAAGGGCUGCUGUUGAUUUGGAUACCCACUACUCAAAGGUAGGCAAUACUUAUGUACUUAAACCAUCAUUGUAAAAUUCACUGCCUCCCCCUUUCAUCUCUGUCAAAGGAUAAAUACUUAAUCUUUCUCCAUCCCAAAAGAAAUAAGGAUUUCAGGAGAACAAUCAGUGGUUCUGUGAUAGUAUGAAUUAAGGACUCCAAGUAAAUUCAUUUGUGUUCUUAUGAUUGGAGUCUUUCUUGUGGGACAUGGAAGUGCGUUGAUGUAUUAAGCCUCCACGGACAGAGGUUUCAGAUAAUCUGUGUGAGUGUGUGUGUGUGUG